GUGGGUAUAGCUCAGUGGUAGAACAUAUGCUUAGCAUGCACAAGUUCCUGGGUUCAAUCUCCAAUACCUCCA
rnacentral:tRNA from 1 species